GUUCACUGUCAGUUUCAAUUCAUCCCUAAAUAGAACCACGCGAACUACGGUCUUGCGAAUCAAAGUGACAUUUCGUAAGCGGGAGGCGGACUUGAUCUUCAAGUUGUGAAAUCUCGACUUGUUCCCUUCAGUUGAUACCGUGGUUCGCUUUUAGAGCCCGGGCACCGUUCGGUCGGACUUUGGGAGAGAAGGAUGUCGGCGGUGAAAGCACUACAACAGUGGUGUAAAAUCCAGUGCGAAGGGUACAGAGAUGUAACUAUCACCAAUAUGACCACUUCUUUCAGGGAUGGGAUGGCUUUCUGCGCGCUCAUACACAGAAACAGACCUGACCUCAUCAACUUUGACUCCCUGAAAAAGGAAGAUGUUUAUGACAACAACCACCUGGCUUUCCGGGUGGCAGAGGACAAGCUGGGGAUCCCUGCUUUGUUGGAUGCGGAGGACAUGGUGGCCUUAAAGAUCCCUGACAGACUCAGCAUACUGACAUACGUCUCCCAGUACUACAACUACUUCCAUGGGAAGUCCCCCAUUGGUGGCAUGGCAGGGAUAAAGCGUCCUGCAGAGCCAUCCAAAGAAGAGCCUUCUGGGAAAAAGAAUCAGGCGGUGGUCUCCAAGGUGUAUCCCUCUACCACCCCUCUACCUUCCGCCUCACCCAGAGCAGCACAGAAGGAAGUGCUGUCAGAGAGUUCUAAUAAGAUGGACACUCUGAGAAGUAAGUGUUGCGUGUGUGAUAAACAUGUCCACCUGGUCCAGAGACACCUAGUGGAUGGGAGGCUGUACCACAGGAACUGUGCCAAGUGUAGUGAGUGCUCCAGCACCCUGUUGUCAGGUAACUGUAAAGCCGGACUCCAACCCAACACUUUGAUCUGCAACUCCCAUCAGCCCCAGGGGACGCCCCUCCGGGACCUGCCCAAAAACACACCUGCCACCUCAAAAUGCACCCCUCACGCCCCUCCCACGACCAAGGUCGCCCCCAUUUCAGACACAGAGCCCCCGAGAACCAGCCUCGCCCCGCAAAGUGCCCCAACGCCUACAUACAGGCCCCACGCAGACCUUUCAAAAUCAAACCUCUCCCCCAAAAACACUCCCACCGUCACCCCAACAAACACCCCAUCCAAACCGACCAGCAAGUCAGACCUGCUCCCCACCUCCACCACCCCCUACACCACCUCCUUGCGCCCCUCCCCUGUGAUGUCCUCCCUGAGCCCAGCAGUUCCAGGACCAGUCGCUGCUCCGCGGAAAACGACCACCGCAGCUUCUAAGACCCAGCAAGCCCGGCUCCGGUUCUUCCAAUCUGGGAACAGCAACAGUCCUGCAACUGACCUGGAGGACCAGGGAAAGACCCAGGGACAGGACCAGAGUGUACCCACCAAAAGUGUCCCGAAGCCGGAUGCGCAGGGGAUGGCAGCGGGGGUGAAGUUGGCUAAAGACUCAGAAUCGUCUCCGUCUAAAGACGUGACCAAGGCUCAGGCUGCAGCUGUCAUCACUAAGAAACUGACGGAGGAAAACAACAAGAAGACGACGACGACAACAACAGCUACUGCUAGUAACAAUAAAACCCCCCCUGCUGCUUCUAGUUCACUGUGGCAAACCACACCACUGAAGAAGACUCUGACUAGACCUGCGUCUGUAGACAUGCCUAAGCAGGAGGCGGAGGCCCCGAAGAAUCAGGCGGAGUCGGCUAUAAAGGAGGUGGGGGGUUCCAGAGGCAGAGUGAAGCUGAAAGCAGACCCUGCUCUCCUCGCCGACCCCUUCCCGAACACCCCUACGCCGACCCCAGCUAGACCCGGCCUCUGGAACAAAACUCCAGACAAGAUCCCCAGACCAGCGUCUCCCAGCACGGCCAAAGACAAUGACAGCAACUCUCCUUCUGACUGGAGAGCCAGACUCAAACCGGUCUCCAAGCCAGUCGGUCCUAAGGACAGUUCUCCCCUCCAGCCUGACAGAAAGAAGGCUGAAGCCCCCUUGGGGCCCUUGGCUGUCGGAGCAGGAAAACCGUCUUCAGGGCCUACUGGGUUUAGAUCGGCCCCCACCAGCUCUCCCCCACCCUCGUCAGUCAGCCCACCAUCCCCCAGCCCUGGAAUAUUGGGCACUGAGAAUGGAAAGAGCUCCGCAACGCCAAUCAACUCCAAGACUGAUACCAACUCCCCUAAACCGGCUAAACCCGACUACAUCCCUAAGGAAGAGAUCCUGAAAGAGCUGCAGGAGAUCGAGGACAGUGUGAAUGACCUGGAGAGGCAAGGCGUGGAGCUGGAGAAACAGUUACGCACCUGUGAAGAAGAGGGAGAGGAGGCGGAUGUGGUGACUGAUGAUCUGAUGGUCGAGUGGUUUAAUCUGAUAAGGAACAAACAGGUCUACAUGAGGAGGGAAUCGGAACUUGUCUACAUAGCCAGGACUCAGGACCUGGAAGAGCAGCAGCCCAGUGUGGAACAGGAGCUCAGAAGACUAAUGGAGAAACCUGAGCGUCUGAAGACUCAGUGGGAUCGUCGCAGGGAGAAGGAGCUGAUGGACAAGCUGGUGGAGAUCGUCAAUGACAGGAACGCCAUUAUAGAUGGCCUGGAUGAGGACCGGCUCAGGGAAGAAGAAGAAGAUGAAGAGAUGAAUAAAAUGAUGAAGAAUCUAGGUGGACCUGUCCAACUGUACUAUAUGGGACUGCCAAAGCCAACUGUCGUGUCUUGAUGUAUCGGGGCUUCUCUCGUGGAUAUUUUUAGAUUAUUUUUUUCCCCCCUCCAUCCAGAUCCAGUAGACUUGAAAAAGAAGAAAAAGAAGAAGUCUGGUUUUAUGUUUUGGGGCAACAAAAAGGACUGACGGUCUUCUGAGUAAACAUGGAGGGGGGGGGGCACUCCCUGCAACAUACUGCUACACUGCUGUUAGAAGUGGUCGGUAGUGUUUGAUAGUUGAUGUGCGCGUGUGCGUGUGCGUGAGAACCGUCAUGUUCAUCCAUGUCACCACACGGCCCCACCCAGUGUCAGGAUUUGACACUCUGCAUAAACGCCACACUGCGUGCAUGAUUAGUUAAUCUGUGGGAUUAGAUUUGUAGGGAUUAGAAGAUAUCAAAGGAACUAUGGGCUGGUUGUCUACUGACUCACUGCUGUUCAGACUGGUGAGGCACGUGUGUGCAUCCCCACCAUUUAAAUAGUCACCCAUAUUUACAGGGUAGAUUGAGGGGAGGAGCCGGGGAUGUCAGCCAACUCUUAGCAUAAAAUUAUCAGGUAUCUACUAGGUGCUCUCAUAUUCCAUGUUAUAGUUGCAUCGUAUAAAUGCUGACCCUUCAGCCAAAGGGUUUCAAUUCAAUAUCAAAGUUUUUUUUUUUUUUUUUUUUUUACCUGUAUUUACAUCCGUAUGGGCUUUGAACCCUUUUACCCUGUAUUUACAUCCGUAUGGGCUUUGAACCCUUUUACCCUGUAUUUACAUCCGUAUGAGCUUUGAACCCUUUUACCCUGUAUUUACAUCCGUAUGGGCGUUGAACCCUUUUACCCUGCAUUUACAUCCGUAUGGGCGUUGAACCCUUUUACCCUGCAUUUACAUCCGUAUGGGCGUUGAACCCUUUUACCCUGCAUUUACAUCCGUAUGAGCGUUGAACCCUUUUACCCUGUAUUUACAUCCGUAUGGGCGUUGAACCCUUUUACCAUGCAUUUACAUCCGUAUGGGCGUUGAACCCUUUUACCAUGCAUUUACAUCCGUAUGGGCUUUGAACCCUUUUACCCUGUAUUUACAUCCGUAUGGGCUUUGAACCCUUUUACCCUGUAUUUACAUCCGUAUGGGCUUUGAACCCUUUUACCCUGUAUUUACAUCCGUAUGGGCUUUGAACCCUUUUACCCUGUAUUUACAUCCGUAUGGGCUUUGAACCCUUUUACCCUGUAUUUACAUCCGUAUGAGCUUUGAACCCUUUUACCCUGUAUUUACAUCCGUAUGGGCGUUGAACCCUUUUACCCUGCAUUUACAUCCGUAUGGGCGUUGAACCCUUUUACCCUGCAUUUACAUCCGUAUGGGCGUUGAACCCUUUUACCCUGCAUUUACAUCCGUAUGAGCGUUGAACCCUUUUACCCUGUAUUUACAUCCGUAUGGGCGUUGAACCCUUUUACCAUGCAUUUACAUCCGUAUGGGCGUUGAACCCUUUUACCAUGCAUUUACAUCCGUAUGGGCUUUGAACCCUUUUACCCUGUAUUUACAUCCGUAUGGGCUUUGAACCCUUUUACCCUGUAUUUACAUCCGUAUGGGCUUUGAACCCUUUUACCCUGUAUUUACAUCCGUAUGGGCUUUGAACCCUUUUACCCUGUAUUUACAUCCGUAUGAGCUUUGAACCCUUUUACCCUGUAUUUACAUCCGUAUGGGCGUUGAACCCUUUUACCCUGCAUUUACAUCCGUAUGGGCGUUGAACCCUUUUACCCUGCAUUUACAUCCGUAUGGGCGUUGAACCCUUUUACCCUGCAUUUACAUCCGUAUGAGCGUUGAACCCUUUUACCCUGUAUUUACAUCCGUAUGGGCGUUGAACCCUUUUACCAUGCAUUUACAUCCGUAUGGGCGUUGAACCCUUUUACCAUGCAUUUACAUCCGUAUGGGCUUUGAACCCUUUUACCCUGUAUUUACAUCCGUAUGGGCUUUGAACCCUUUUACCCUGUAUUUACAUCCGUAUGGGCUUUGAACCCUUUUACCCUGUAUUUACAUCCGUAUGGGCUUUGAACCCUUUUACCCUGUAUUUACAUCCGUAUGGGCUUUGAACCCUUUUACCCUGUAUUUACAUCCGUAUGGGCUUUGAACCCUUUUACCCUGUAUUUACAUCCGUAUGGGCGUUGAACCCUUUUACCCUGCAUUUACAUCCGUAUGGGCGUUGAACCCUUUUACCCUGCAUUUACAUCCGUAUGGGCGUUGAACCCUUCCCCCCUGUAUUUACAACGGUAUGGGCUCAGAACCCUUCCCCCCUGUAUUUACAACGGUAUGGGCUCAGAACCCUUUCCCCCUGUAUUUACAUCAGAAUGGGGUCAGAACCCUUGGGACUCUUGGUGAUCUUUUCCCAUUAGGGUGCACUGAGUAAACCGCAUCAAGCCUUGGUUACUUCCAACUCCCUAAUGAACAGAUGGUUAAUGAGCAUGUUGAACUAGUUUUAGUAUUGAUUUGACCAGAUAAUGAGUUAAUAUGAUCCAUAUUGGAUUUUGGAGUAAAUCUUUUCUGAAUACAUUUAAAAAAAAUAAAGUUGUCAUUGAUGUAGGGUUAUAUAUUCAUUUUAACUAUAACAGCAUUUUCUUUUACCACAGAGUAUGGUAAGUGGCUUUUUAAAGUUUUGGGAGAAAAAGACCAAUUCUUGAAAGUGGGUUUUUCUUUACUGGACAGUAGUUUGUUGCUAGGGAUCCAUGUUAGUACAUUUAUGGAUUUGUGAAAUGUGAUUUUUAGCAGAGUGUAAAACAUUUUUAAACCAUACAUUGAUAUUAGAGAAUCUUUAUGAACUGUGGAAAACAAAGAGCAGAACCACUAGAAAUGUCUCUUUGAUCUGGUGUUUUUCUUUACUCUUGCUAAGCACUGUGUGUUAUUGAUUCACCUAGAUUAUUUUUUUUACCCAAUAAAUACAAUGAUGUAAAAUG